CAUUAAUACAAGAUGAAAUUGCCAAAAUAGGCUAAAAAUUUGAGUCACGCGCUCAGAUAUUGUCUGAUGCUUAAUACUUGACCUAUAAAAGAAAAAUUAUUUUAUUUAUACUACACAGUAAAAACUGAACAAAAAUACCCCCACGGGCCUGGCGGGGACCACGCAAAAAUGUCGUGCAGCCGCGUAGGGAUCCUUGGUCUUCAUAUAUUGCUUCGAAAAUUGGGGGCGGGGACCGCGCACAAAGGUCGCGCGACCGGGUUGGCUGAGAGGCGCGGACCGCGUAGAAAUGGGACGCAAACGCUUGGAAAACUUCACAAAACUCCACACUCUCUGAACUUCAUUCAUGCGGACCGCACUGGUUUGGUGUGCAGCCACGUUGGCUUUGUUACACCCCUUUUUUAUAAAACCAACUCUUACUUAAAUCCUCUUAAAUAAAUAAAAAGAUCUUAAUAAAAUCUUGCAAAGUAUUUUCAAUUUUGAAAGUGACAAAAUGGGAUUCAAAAGGAAAAAAUCUUCAGAGUCGACAUUUGGAUUUCGGUGUGUCAGGUAAUCGUUUUUCUAGGAAUAAUAAUUUUCCUUUCAAAACAAUUUGAACUCUAAAACUAAGUAUACACCAGAGAUAUGGAUAAGGGGGUUCAUUUGACUCUGGGAGAAGGUGUUAGGCACUCCUCAAAUCCCGUGAAUGUCACGAUUGCGUAGUCGAUCUGGAUUUCAAGAUAUUCAAAUUGAGGUAACAACACGCUAAAAGAAAACAAACAAUCAAAAAGGCUCGAGGUCGUCCCCACCUAAAUGAAAGAAAACGAGAAGGAAAAGGAAAAGAAAAAUCCUAAGCUAACCUAUACUACGACUUCUCCGCCGUGUUCGUCAAGGCCUCCAAAAUAUUUACAUAGCUCUUCGGGGCAUACCCCAGAUAAUAAUAUUUACAAACUUCAUUGGGCAUUCCCCGGAUAAAUUCAACUAAGGGACAACCUCUUGCCUUUAAACUAACAAAAAUUCUAAGGCUUACCUACCCAGGUGUUCGGCCUAAAGCAUCCUCCUAGCGGAUAAUGUAAUAAAAGAACAAGAAAAAGAGCUGGGAGAGAUGAGUUAACAGUACGCAAUCUUUCAUUAAAAUUCCUAAUUUACUACUUUAUCCCACUACCCCCCACAAAACACACAUCAAAAUGACCCACUCCAGUUAUCUACACACACAAAGUAGGGAUUAACGUAGAAGGCAUAUAGGAGAGGAGGAAAAAUGUAGCAUUUGAUAAAACAGAAAUACCAUCCAAGUCCAGAAAUGACAAAUCAAAACAUAAUAAGAGCUAUUUAAAGUCUAUCUAACCAUUCCCAUUAAACUUAUUCUUAAUCCCAUACCAGUAAAAUAUUGAAACUCACUUCGAAUCCCAAGUAUGAUCUCAAGAUUAGCCGUAAGGACGUAUGCUCAAAUAAGGAACCUACACAUUCCAAAUAACUCGAAGGACUUCUAAGGAUUGCUAGGCUGCUAUGUCACCUUCUCGACAUACUGUAAAAGUCCCUGAAAUCUCCUACUCGACCCCUUCCCUUACGAAAAUCCACAGAGAUAUCAUAUGAAAGGACCGUAGUAUCUCAAAUAGUUUCAAAUCUUCAUGAAGGAAUAAGUCUGAUUGCAUGAAUGGACGACAAGAAUUUAACAGUUAGAAUAUUCACAAACCACACCCAUGCAUAGGAAACUGAAUUCGAACGGAAGUAAGCAGAUUCAACUAUGUAUUGAACGUUUUAGAACAUUUAGCUUCCUAUUCACAUGUUGCAAAACCAUGAGAUUAAAGCAACUAGUGUUUAUGUCGGGUACAAAAAUAAAAUUUACUCUCAAAGUUCAUCAUCUAAGAUUUCGUUCAAAAGGUCUUAUUUCAAUCACCUCACUCUGUCUAACCAAAUUGGCCAUGAGAAUGUAAUUUUUUUAGUACCUAACUUAGUUACCAGAUUAUCCUAAGUAAUGGCUUGUUAAUGUUAUUAAGCUGAUGAUUCAAUAUCAAAUAAAAAGUCCCAAAACAACAAAAAUAAUUAUCAGAAGUUUGGAUAAUGAAGAGUAUGACUAAGCCUCAAUGCACCAAGGACCCAAUUCAAGACUCUCGACAUGGGCAACACUGUGAAGAAGUUCCUUCAAAUAGUUACCCUCCUUCUCCAAGUCGUGAUUCCCAAAUUCAUCAGAGCGCAUAUUCAAACACGAUCCAUUUCAAAACUAAUCGUCAAGAAUAUAUGAACUAGUGAACAACCCACAGAUCAUGAAUAUAACAUUUAUGGCUCUUAUCAUAUUUUCAUUCACAAGAAACAGAUUAAAAGAGCUAGAAACGAACCUGAACAAACGCUAACUUUAAUUAAAUCUCGAAAUGAGUACAAGCAGAAGUCGAGCGAUGAACUUAACAGGGAUGGAACAGAACGAAUCCGGAACCACGAACUCUAACCAAAGACGGAAAAUAGAACUUCAAACGAGCACCACCUCGAUCAAACUCCAAUGUUGAAUCCCAAAUCCAAUUUUUUCUGAUUUUCGAACUGAUACGGAAUCUCCAACAAAAUGAAACUCAAGUUUGUUUUUGUAUUUUUUUCCUUUCGAAUUUUUGAAGCAGCGAGGAAAACGAAAACACUAAUGAUUUUUUUUCUGUUUUUAUUUUUCGUCGUGUAUCUGGAAACAAGAAAAUGAAGAUGGAAAAAUCUGAUGAAAACCUCAAGAACCCUAGUUUUUUUUUUCGAAAAAUCCAAUCCCUAACUUCUGUCUCCAAAAACCUCUCAAAUAUAUAUUACACCCUAGAAGCUUCUUCCCUCUUCUCCAAGAGAUUCCUGAACCGUGUGGACCCCAACAAUAAAAAAUCUGAAAAUCAUUUUCACAAAUAAAAAAAUCAGAAAAAUAGAGAUUUAUGGAUGAAAAUUCCAUCCAACGAUUCCUAUUCUUCCAAAGUUAUAUUCAAGGGUUCAAAUUGUGCCUCAUCCAAAACAAAAUAAAUGAAAACGUGUAGAAAUGAUGAACUUUGUAUGAAGUGAGUGACGUGCAGGAAGGAGAAGGGAAAUAGCGGACCAUCGGUGACCAAAUGGGUGAGCUCGGGUAAGGUUUGGGUUGGGUUUGGUGGCAGAAGGUGUGGGAGAGAAGAGGGGUGGCGGCUGGUCUUGUUUGGGGAUUUAGGGUUAGGGUUUUGGGAAAUAAGGUUUUUAUAUGGGGUAUUUAAGAAAUAUGGACCAUUGGAUCAAAGUUAAUAGAUGGCUAGGAUUUGAGGGAAAGAUUGGGGCGGGUCAGCAGGUGGG
rnacentral:lncRNA from 1 species